rnacentral:misc_RNA from 1 species
AAAAAAUAAUGAGCAGUACGAUGAUGCAUGUGCAGUAAUUUAUUUUCAUGAGAACCUAAGUGUUACUCUUCUUUUCAAAAUUCUCCUGAAUUACAUUAUUUAUCUUAAUGCCACGUGGUUUUCUGUGAAAUAAUCUCUCCUAUUGAAGGUCUUUUCUAUCAAAAUAUUUUUAUCUUUCCCUUUAAAUAAUUUCUCUUUUAAUCUCUUUUCUGUGACAUUAAGGGAUUUGGUUUGAGAAGAGCAGUGGAAUACAUAACAAAAGUGAAUAAUAAAGGGUUUGCUUUAACCAGCAAGUUUCAAGUACCCCAGCCCCCUCACCUUUAGAUUUCAAAAGAGAAAAACCCAAAACCACCAUAUACACAAAUCCCAAACCACCAUAAACAUCCUCAUUUCACAAGUGAUUUGAGACUUCAAGAUUACAAACCAGCCACCAUCAUUAUUCAUGCCAUUCACUAGAAUCCUCCACCUCGAUGGCUAAACAUUUCUCUCUCUCACAAUAUCUAUGAUGCGGAGAAUCCAGCCACUGCUAACCUCGAGACUCUCUAAACAGUAAGCCUUAGAAUCACUAAUGUUGAGUUGUAUAACCCUCCCUGUUGAACAUGAGGUUCCCUAUUUGCGCAUAUGGUACCAAGUUCUUUCCACCAUAAGAAUUGAACUAUUUCAACUAUAUUUCUCCAAGAAUAUUUGCUGUUUAUUUUCUCGAUUUGAUGCUGAUUUUGAUAGUCAAAUAUAUGUUUAUUUAUUUUAAGAAAAACAGCUAAUUGUUUGAAAAUCCUGAUCAAAUAGUCAUGUAUAAAUAUUAAAAUUAAUUUUCAAUUUUUU